UAGAGUUUGAUCAUGGCUCAGGACGAACGCUGGCGGCGUGCCUAAUACAUGCAAGUCGAGCGAGCAGAACCAGCAGAUUUACUUUGGUAAUGACGCUGGGGACGCGAGCGGCGGAUGGGUGAGUAACACGUGGGGAACCUGCCCCAUAGUCUGGGAUACCACUUGGAAACAGGUGCUAAUACCGGAUAAUAAAGCAAAUCGCAUGAUCAGCUUAUAAAAGGCGGCGUAAGCUGUCGCUAUGGGAUGGCCCCGCGGUGCAUUAGCUAGUUGGUAAGGUAACGGCUUACCAAGGCAAUGAUGCAUAGCCGAGUUGAGAGACUGAACGGCCACAUUGGGACUGAGACACGGCCCAAACUCCUACGGGAGGCAGCAGUAGGGAAUCUUCCACAAUGGACGCAAGUCUGAUGGAGCAACGCCGCGUGAGUGAAGAAGGUUUUCGGAUCGUAAAGCUCUGUUGUUGGUGAAGAAGGAUAGAGGUAGUAACUGGCCUUUAUUUGACGGUAAUCAACCAGAAAGUCACGGCUAACUACGUGCCAGCAGCCGCGGUAAUACGUAGGUGGCAAGCGUUGUCCGGAUUUAUUGGGCGUAAAGCGAGCGCAGGCGGAAGAAUAAGUCUGAUGUGAAAGCCCUCGGCUUAACCGAGGAAUUGCAUCGGAAACUGUUUUUCUUGAGUGCAGAAGAGGAGAGUGGAACUCCAUGUGUAGCGGUGGAAUGCGUAGAUAUAUGGAAGAACACCAGUGGCGAAGGCGGCUCUCUGGUCUGCAACUGACGCUGAGGCUCGAAAGCAUGGGUAGCGAACAGGAUUAGAUACCCUGGUAGUCCAUGCCGUAAACGAUGAGUGCUAAGUGUUGGGAGGUUUCCGCCUCUCAGUGCUGCAGCUAACGCAUUAAGCACUCCGCCUGGGGAGUACGACCGCAAGGUUGAAACUCAAAGGAAUUGACGGGGGCCCGCACAAGCGGUGGAGCAUGUGGUUUAAUUCGAAGCAACGCGAAGAACCUUACCAGGUCUUGACAUCUAGUGCCAUCCUAAGAGAUUAGGAGUUCCCUUCGGGGACGCUAAGACAGGUGGUGCAUGGCUGUCGUCAGCUCGUGUCGUGAGAUGUUGGGUUAAGUCCCGCAACGAGCGCAACCCUUAUUAUUAGUUGCCAGCAUUAAGUUGGGCACUCUAAUGAGACUGCCGGUGACAAACCGGAGGAAGGUGGGGAUGACGUCAAGUCAUCAUGCCCCUUAUGACCUGGGCUACACACGUGCUACAAUGGGCAGUACAACGAGAAGCGAGCCUGCGAAGGCAAGCGAAUCUCUGAAAGCUGUUCUCAGUUCGGACUGCAGUCUGCAACUCGACUACACGAAGCUGGAAUCGCUAGUAAUCGCGGAUCAGAACGCCGCGGUGAAUACGUUCCCGGGCCUUGUACACACCGCCCGUCACACCAUGGAAGUCUGCAAUGCCCAAAGCCGGUGGCCUAACCUUCGGGAAGGAGCCGUCUAAGGCAGGGCAGAUGACUGGGGUGAAGUCGUAACAAGGUAACC
rnacentral:rRNA from 1 species